CCUACGGGAGGCAGCAGUGAGGAAUAUUGGUCAAUGGGAGAGAUCCUGAACCAGCCAAGCCGCGUGAGGGAAGACGGCCCUAUGGGUUGUAAACCUCUUUUGUCGGAGAACAAAACCCGGGACGAGUCCCGGACUGCGUGUAUCCGAAGAAAAAGCAUCGGCUAACUCCGUGCCAGAAGCCGCGGUAAUACGGAGGAUGCGAGCGUUAUCCGGAUUUAUUGGGUUUAAAGGGUGCGUAGGCGGUCUGUUAAGUCAGUGGUAAAAUUUUGGGGCUCAACCCCGCCGAGCCGUCGGAACUGGGGGCCUUGAGUGCGGCAGAGGCAGGCGGAAUGCGCGGUGUAGCGGUGAAAUGCAUAGAUAUCGCGCAGAACCCCGAUUGCGAAGGCAGCGUGCCGUGCCGCCACUGACGCUGAGGCACGAAAGCGCGGGGAUCGAACAGGAUUAGAUACCCCAGUAGUC
rnacentral:rRNA from 1 species